GAACUCACAGUCUCCUGGUAAUAGACCCAAAGUUACUCAGCUGGCUUUCAUGCCUAAGAGUGGGACUACAACUCAUAGUCUUCUGAUGAUUGCCCAAAGUCACUCAGCUGGCUUUCAUACCUAAGGCUGGAACUAGAACUCCCAGUCUCCUGGUGAUAGAUCCCAAAUCACUUAGCUGGCUUGCAUGCCUAAGGCAAGGCUUGAAUUC